rnacentral:rRNA from 1 species
AUUGAACGCUGGCGGCAGGCUUAACACAUGCAAGUCGAGCGGGGGAAGGUAGCUUGCUACCGGACCUAGCGGCGGACGGGUGAGUAAUGCUUAGGAAUCUGCCUAUUAGUGGGGGACAACAUCUCGAAAGGGAUGCUAAUACCGCAUACGUCCUACGGGAGAAAGCAGGGGAUCUUCGGACCUUGCGCUAAUAGCUGAGCCUAAGUCGGAUUAGCUAGUUGGUGGGGUAAAGGCCUACCAAGGCGACUAUCUGUAGCGGGUCUGAGAGGAUGAUCCGCCACACUGGGACUGAGACACGGCCCAGACUCCUACGGGAGGCAGCAGGGGGGAAUAUUGGACAAUGGGGGGAACCCUGAUCCAGCCAUGCCGCGUGUGUGAAGAAGGCCUUAUGGUGGUAAAGCACUUUAAGCGAGGAGGAGGCUACUCUAGUUAAUACCUAGGGAUAGUGGACGUUACUCGCAGAAUAAGCACCGGCUAACUCUGUGCCAGCCGCCGCAGUAA